CAAACCAAAGCUGGCGACCGGCGCACGGGUAAGUAACACGUAUCCAACCUGCCUCAUACUCGGGGAUAGCCUUUCGAAAGAAAGAUUAAUAUCCGAUAGCAUAUAUUUCCCGCAUGGGUUUUAUAUUAAAGAAAUUUGGUAUGAGAUGGGGAUGCGUUCCAUUAGUUUGUUGGGGGGGUAACGGCCCACCAAGACUACGAUGGAUAGGGGUUCUGAGAGGAAGGUCCCCCACAUUGGAACUGAGACACGGUCCAA
rnacentral:rRNA from 1 species